CCUACGGGAGGCAGCAGUGGGGAAUAUUGCGCAAUGGGCGAAAGCCUGACGCAGCGACGCAGCGUGAGGGAUGAAGGUCUUCGGAUCGUAAACCUCUGUCAGCAGGGAAGAACGGUCACUGUGCUAAUCAGCAGUGAAUUGACGGUACCUGCAAAGGAAGCACCGGCUAACUCCGUGCCAGCAGCCGCGGUAAUACGGAGGGUGCGAGCGUUAAUCGGAAUUACUGGGCGUAAAGCGCUCGUAGGCGGUAUGUCAAGUCAAGGGUGAAAGCCCCGCGCUCAACGUGGGAACUGCCGUUGAAACUGGCAAACUGGAGUGUGUGAGAGGAUAGUGGAAUUCCAGGUGUAGGAGUGAAAUCCGUAGAUAUCUGGAGGAACAUCAGUGGCGAAGGCGACUAUCUGGCACAUAACUGACGCUGAGGAGCGAAAGCGUGGGUAGCAAACAGGAUUAGAUACCCGGGUAGUC
rnacentral:rRNA from 1 species